CCAUAUUUACUUUAUUCAGUCAAGCAACAUCUUUUUUGGAGAUAAUCUAUGUAUCUGGGGAAGACUAAUUCAGCUGUUCAGGAAACAGAGAAAGGACACACAACUCUACAUGGACAGUGACCAAAGGACAAGAUUGAACUGCCAUGGGUGUGUGAGCUAUUGUGGUAACGUGGUACUGCAGCCAUAUAGCAACAGCUAACUGUAAUAGUGCAUUUUCAUUCCAGAGUGGUCUGUUUAUGCUUGGCAAAAGACAGGAUGUCCUGCAGUCAUGUUUCUAAUUCUACCAUACCUUGGGUUAAUCACACUUGGAUGCAGCCAAGUCAGCUGUGGAUACUGAAGCAGGAGUAACAGAGCAUAUCUAAACAAUCCUACCUUGGUUUGUAAUUUACUGUGGAGUUGACUGGUAUUGCAUGCGUACUUGCAUACAGGUACAAAAAGGUGAAACAAGUGAUGACACCAUACCUAGCAGAAGUCCUUAAACUAAAC